CCGCUGAACAAACUGAAACUAAUACAGUCCAGCCUGGAAGAAGACCCUGAAGAUGUUCAGAUGGAAUUUAUGAAAUACUACAAAAGCGUUGUCAACUUGCUAAAUGAAAGCAGAGCUAGGGAAGAGGUGUCAAUUAUCACGUAAUGCUGAAAGAAAGAAUGAAGAGAGAGAGACCGAGCAAGUACUGUUUGCAGUUUGAGAUCUGUCCUAGCCAAGAAAUAACUCUAGAACUUAUCUUGUUAAGGAGAGUUUGCCAGUGGAUAAACGCUAUAAGGAUAGUUUGAGAGUGAUUUUCCCCAAGAGAAAAUAGAUGCACAGCUUAAGACUCCUCAAGAGACUGAAGGCUGAAUUCAGAUGAACUGUUAUGCAAAAGAUUUGGCUGUAAAUCCAGGAAUGCAAGUAACUUUAGCUGUCCCCUGACCAGGUGUGUUACUGGAUAAAGUUCAAGAAGGUGUCUUCUAAUAUGUCUGUGUGGACCCAGCUAAUUAACUAUAUAUUUAGUUUGUGAAAACAUUAAGAAUUUGGCUAGUUCUUAAUUGACUCACUUAAGAAGGUUCUCAUCUUUUUCCAGAAAAAGCUAAAUGAAUGGGCCAGGCAGAACAUAAGUUUUAGGAAUCUGUGUUUAAGCACUUGGGUAAUGUGUCUAUGGCAGCUGUGCUGUUACUUGGAGAAAAUAUGCUUUUGGAUGUCAGUAGAAACUGGUUGGAACUGAGAUGUGAGCAUUAAGUCUCUGGUGAAAUCUAUAUAUUAAUGUCCCCAAAUCUCCUCACCUCUCUCCAGCAUCUGAAGAGCACAUCAUUUUUCAGGCUUGUGUUCUGGCAAGAUAGACUAAACUGCAACCUUUAUUCUAGCAAGCCUUUCCAUCCACUUCAACAAAACUCCCAUAUUUACUCAGCAGCAGUGUGGAGCCGGUACUGCUGUUCCAGCCCUGUAGCAGUAGUGGCAGAGAUCUGCUGCUGCUGCUCUGGGGCCAGGCUAGAAUAGCAGCGUCAGCUCCACACUGCUGGCAUGGGGCAGGCUGGAGCCAUGCUCCAUGCCCUGGGCUGCAGCAGGGACAGAAGCUGGUUCAGAGCACAGAUCAGGGUGGAGGGCUGAGGGGCAGGCAGGGGGAGAGAGACUUCAGGAGGGGGAGAGAUGGGAGGAGGUGGGGCAGGGACCUGAGGCCGUCGGUGAUAAAAGUGUUAUGGAGGGGGGAAACGGGAAAAGCGGGAAUUGGGACAACCUGAGGCUGUGGUGGAGGGGCUGGUAUGGUGCGGGGAGGGGGGUGGGCAGCAGAGGAAAAGCUGCCUGCCUCCCUCACUGUCUGCCCCCUAUCCCCUGCCCCCUACUGCCUCUCCCACUGUCUGUUCUCAAACACCUGCCCCACUACUGCCUCCUCAUCACUUUUCUUCCCCACCACCUGUAGUAGCGGGGAGGGAGACAUUUAAGAUGAUCCUCCAAUAAUUAGAUUCCACACAUGGAAAAUUAUAAUAAACUUAUACAUUUUCUGUGUGUAGAAUCUUAUUAUUGCGGGGGGGAUCUUGUAUUUGAGUAAGUCUGCUAGUCUUGUUGUUGGUGACAAUGCUUAGGUGCCUCUCUGGGAGGGAAAAAGUUUUGAAUCCCAUUCCAGCUAGAUCAUUUUGCUUUAACACAGAGACUAUGAAAGGGAAAACGUUUUCCAUUCUCUGGAUAAGGGAAAGAUGUUUUUAAAAUGUAUUUUAUUGUUCUCUGCUAUAUUGAAAUUAUUGGUUUCUUAGGGACCUCAUUGUUUGAUUUGUUUUGGUUACACUCAGGCUCCCUCUGUUUGGUGUGUUGUGAAAGACAGCCAUCUUUUUCCUAUGAUAUGUACCACAAACUCAACUAACACUUUUUUUUAAAUGCGUCUGUCUUGUUCUGAAAGUGAAAGCUAAGCAGGGAUUAUCACCCUCUUGGAAAUCCAACUGUCUUGCUUCAUUUGUUGACAAAGCUACAGUCUUUCUGAUCAGCUUUUUUAUUUCAUACAGAUGCUCCAAAACUAAAAUACUGUGCUUGGCUAUUUAACUCUAACAUCAAUUAGCUGAAGUGGAGAUAAUUUAAGACAGAAGCCAUGCUAAUUUUUUUUUUAAUAGGGAAUGUGAAAAAACAGACGUAAUAGGUCAGAAUAGAAGCAGGAACUGCAGAAAUGCUUGUAAUGUAUCCCACUGUUAUAGCUUUUAAGAAAAAAAAGCUAUUACUUGAGAGCAAUAUCAUGCAUACAUCAGUUUCUGGAGAAGAGUUUAUUGGCUUUCUAGCAAGGCUUGUCUCCAGCUCCUUUUAUGAUUGUGUUUGAGCUACAGGCAUAUUACUGAUACAAAUAGUUGCUUUGAACUUUUGUAGGAAGAAGCUGUUAGUGAGGGUGUCUUGCUCCAGGCCAUCAAGGUUUAAUGAACUGCAUGUCACAGUUUCAGUUUUAUAAGUUCACCUCCACCGCCUGCGUAGGUCUCACCUCUAGCCAGAAUCUUUCUUGGGAUGGGAACCCAUGUUCCCCUCCCCUCUGGACCAGGAUUUUAGUUUGCAAUCCCUUUGUAACGUACUGUGACCAUCUUGGCUGAGUUUAGCUCAGUUUAUUAUUUCCUUACAACAUGCAUUUAUUUAGAGCAAAUCAUUACAAAGAAAGUCUGAAACAAUGAAUUUGAAAUGAGAAUACCUAUCAUCUGCAUAGAUGCCUAGUGGGUACAGUACUCAGAUUUGUCAGUUCUUAGAUUAUUGGGUAUCUGUCCCAAAACAGGACUUUUUAUGCCAGUUUUUAAGAAACUUUGUUUUACCAGCCAUCUAGAACGAGGUAACCCCUCGCCACCCUCUUCCUCCUCAUCAUUGCUAUUUUUCUAGGUAUGAAGCUUCAAAGGGCUAGACAAACAUAUACAUAUAACCAUACAUACAUACUAACGGCCAUCUUCAUACACACUACCAGCAAACCCAAACUCACAAAAAAUCAGCCAUGUUUCUUAUCUUGUGGGCUGUCUAAUUUAUAGUGAGCCAUCCUGGACCAUUUUUGGAUGGGAUGGGAUAUAAAUCGAAAUAUUUAACAAUAAUAAUAAUUUACAUAAAUACCAUUGGGAGUUUAUAUUAAUUACCCCCACACACACAAACUAACAAAGCUAAGUCAAACAUCCUUCCUAAGCUUUCUUCUUUUUUUUUCUUCAAGAGAAGCUUUUUCAAAGUCACUUUCAUAUACUGUUUCAGAUAUUUCAACACCAUACUUUUAAUCAGGGCCAGUACAAACACAUAGUCUGAAAGUUCUUUUAUUUUUUGUAUUCUUGACUUCCCCUGAACAAUCUUCUCUUUGAAUAUUAUUCUGUUCAGAAUUUAAAACAUAAAGACAUAAAAAAGAGGACUUAAAAGAUCUCUUAAUAAAGCAUUUGACUGAAAGAGGUAGCAACAGAUAACUUAUCAACCAAUGCUGGAUCAGACAGGGACUUCGUAGGAUUCAUGUACAACUGCAAAAAGCCUAAGCAGUUUGGUCAGGCUAGUGGCAAAACUGAAUGAGUGAAGCCAAUGCCAAGGGCAAGCAGUGUUCUUUAUCUGGUGUGCACGUCUUGCUGCCAGCAUUUGCUGCCACUGCUUCUUUUGGGCUCUAUUCCCUUUUUCUGCCAAUAAAGCUCCACUCAUCCAUGAGAAGAAAAAAAGCAAGUAUUGACAGAAAAAAAAAAUCAGGACAGAGAAGUUUCACUCCAAAAAUAGAAAGCCAAGAACUGAGCAGAGGGAUAAGGCAAGAGAAGGAAAAGAAAUGGGGAGGUAGUCAGAAUUCAGAAAGUUCAAUUUUAUUUUUAAACUUUAUGACAUUCAAGAUAUGUAUGUUUGCAAUCAGUGUCAAAAGGGGAUCUCGUGAAACCAGACAUCUGACAACUUCUGUCCCCCCCGGCUCCCCACCACCCAUGGGUUGCCUAGCACCUUCUCGCCAUAUGCAAAGUGGGAAGCCUGGCUCUCUCCCUACCCAGCCAUGUGCACCGCACAGUCGGCCCUGCAGCACUGGCAGCCUAGCUCCCUCCCAGCUGCGUGUACCACCCACCUCACAUACCUACCAGAGGUAGCCCAACUGCCUCUGCCAUACAAGCAGCUCAGGCAUUGCAGCACUCUCCCAGCUACAGGGGCAGGAGCACCUGGGGCGAGGGGGGGAGGAGUGGCGGGGCAGGUGCCUGUAGGCUUUAUGCUAACCCUUUGGAAGGGAAGCCACGUGUGGCCCAUGGGCCACCAGUUGGACAGCCCUGGCCUAACUGAAGAACAGAUAUAUUUGAUGCUGUUUUAGAUUAUUUUCCCCUUACCCACCUGUGCAGUGUACAAGGCAAUGUUUCAAACAAGUACUGUCCUAAAACAUUUUCCUAGCAGCAACACUGCUAUUUUACCCAUCAGUCUUCCAGCCAUUAUACAUUAUGAUGUGUACUACUGACAUCUAAUUUGAGUCCAACCAAAUUGACUUGAGACCGUAAGCUAGUUUUUGAGUGAUUCCAGAUUUUAAAAGUUAGUGGACUCGCCCACUCACCUGAGAGAGAACAGAAGUGAAGGUGCUGAGCUAACUUUACAUCUGAGAUUGACAGUGAUUGCAUGGGGACUGAAACCUAAAAUCUAGAGGGAAGGGAAUAGGGGUUCCUAUUCCAGGAAAGAUGUUGGCUAGAGUCUUGAGGUCCAAAUGAGAUGCUCUGGAGGAGAUGACGCAGGGGCUGGAGGUGUACUGUGACAAACAUUGUUAAACCUUGACUGUCAGGAUUAAGAGAUUAUAGCUAACAGCCUCUACUGGCUAAAGUCCACAGUAAUUAUCAUGUACUUGUAAAUUCAGACAUAACCAGGGGGCAGGGGGACAAAUACAAAAUCUCCAGAAACUGAUUUAUGCCUAACUGCUCUCCAGGAACAGAUUUUAAAACAGGGCUAUGGCUGUGUGGAAAGGAAGCCACAGAAAACAGGCAAUCUCCUCAGCAUCCUCCAAAACUGGAGAAUUUACAGCAGAAGCUCUUUUCCCAUUUGGGUCAUCACCACUACACCUGGGAAUUUCAAAAAGAUUUUUGGGCAUCAUUCUGAGAAGUCAUAGAAUGGGGAAGAACUAAGGAUUAAUCAGGAAGUACAAGUCCUCCAACCCCAUGUCACUAAUCUCUGUAGUGCCAAGGACUAUUGAAUCUUGCAGCAGCCUCCAAUUAAGUGUGUUAAGUCUUCUUUCCUUUCUGGGUGGGGAUGAACCUUGCGCCUGCUGGCCAAAAGACUAAUUUGUAAGAAAUGUACAUGGGUUGAAAUUAAUUAUGCUUCUUGGUUGUCUGUUUUCCCCAUGUCAGGAACUAUAUGGCUAUUUUAUUUCAAGAUGGACUUUGUGAGAUCAGUUGCAUUGCUGUGACUUUGUGGAAAUAAUCUGGAAUCAGGACCUUGGAGUGGGAUUUUAUCCUGACCUAUUCCAACAGAAUAGGUAGAUAUUAAUAUGCUCCUACAUUUGUUCUUCAUCGGUACAGUGUUGUAACCUUGUCCUUCUACUGAAAGGCCUCAGAUGCACUGGUUUAACAGUAUUUGCAAUCAAGAUAAAACUGAAUCAGAUCACCAUUAAGACUCUCUGAAUUUGAGGAAGUUGGGAUCCUGAUCCUAACUGUACAGCUGGAGCUCAGCUGUAGAGCACCUAAAAACACCACUGGGAAUUAGGCAGAUGGAAUUUACCCUGGCUAAAUCAAGGAAUAGAAAAACUAAGUGCCAUGCCCGAGGUCACACAGGAAGUCGGUGGAAAACCUGAACAAAUUGAUCCAACGUUCCAGUUCCCCAGAUAAUGCCUUAACUACAAGAGCUUCCUCCUCCUUAGCUAUCUUUCUGAUAUUGUACCUUCUGGACACAACAUCUCCAGGAACCACUUCCUGACUUUUAGGAUUCAAGUCUCCCAUCUACCAUCUCUACCAUCCAAAGACUCAUCUCUUCUAUGAGUCUUUGGAUGCACCUCUUUGUGGAUAUUUCCUUCUGCCACCCUGAGGACAGCUGAUGAGCCCUUGAGGGAAGCCCCAAGCCUGCGUUCCAGUCCGGUGCCUUCGAUGCCAAAGUGAUUUUUACUCUUCCUGUGCAAUGUAUUGCUACCCAGUUUGUACAUAUUCUACCAGCCAUGUGCAUACCUGGUAAAUGUGGCCUCCCCAGCAUAGAAUGAGUUUCUUAAAAAAGCAUUUAUUAAAUAGUCUAUAAUUUUAUAUGAAUAAUAAAACAUCAGUUUCCCUUGCUACUAAUUCACAUUCCUAUUCUGGAGAGGAUUGGCUUAGUGCUUUGUGAUAAGGAUUGAAAUGCCUAGAAUCCUUGGAAUUCCUACUGAGGAUCAGUUCAUGGCAGAGCUGAUUCAGCCCAUUGCCCUUGACAGCAGAUACAAUUAAUUCUUUACUAUGGGCAUACUAUAUGGGCAAUCUUGCUCACAGCUAAUAUCCAAUCUCUUUAUUUCAGCUGCCCAAUGUGCCUUGAUGUUCUAUGUGUAUUUUUGUUAUAGCCAGUAUUAUGUGUUGUGUGAUUUUUCUCUAGAUAUGGAAGAGGGCCCUUCCAGACAAAGCACUCUCGGGCUCAAAGCUUUCUGAAGCUGUGUGCCCAGGCUUUUGAAGAUGGGGGCCGGGGGGGAAAUGUGGAGGAUUUCCAUCCCCAGUCUCUUCCCUGUCUCUCCUGCUAUAGAUCAUACCUUGAAUCUAGAAAUCAAGCCAUGUCAAUUAAGCCUCUUAAGCACCCCACAGUUGUAAAUGUGUUGGUGCUAUCAGUUAUGUCACUAUUACUUUCCCUGUCGCUGACCUAGGGGUUAUGUUGGGGUGUGGCUGGAGGAAACUGGGUGUGCAGCAUUUACUGUGGAGUUGCCUAAUUAGCUCUGCAGUAAAUCUCUGGGUAUCUAUACAUGUGGCCCUAAUAGGCCACAGGAAACUAAUAAACUCUACAGCAGGUUAGUACCUGUCAAUACAAGUAGUGUCCUGCUGAGGAGUUCUUUCAUGUGCAGCAAUACCUGGGCAGGUGUUGCUGAUCUGGGUGGCUGGGGCAUGAGGAUGCUUCAGUGCAGGAGCCGCCUGCCUGUUAGCCCUUCACUGAAGCACCCUUGUAUACCAGCCAGCCCCCCGCAGCAAGUUGAGCUGGGUAGGAGCAGCCCUGAGCCGGCAGGCUGAUUCCCUGGGCCCUCUGUCAGCCAAGACUGCUCCAACCUGGCUCAACAUGUGUGACCAGGACCACAGCAUGUUUAUACAUAUGCCCAGGAGCAAUAAACUCAGUCAUGGCAUGCACCAGAGUUUAUUGCUGCUCAUUAAUAUGCUCAUGUAGAUGUGCUCACUGAGUAUAAUUUUAGUGCCUCUGUUUUCUUUGAAAGUACUUACCACUAGACAUAAUUAAGAGCUGUAUUGAAGCUCCUCUAAAUUACACCAGGGCCCAGACUAUCUCCAGGAAUAAAAAGACAGGAGAGGAGAAUAAGGCACAAACCUGGAUCUAGCCCAUAUAUUUCUAAUAAAUGAUUGAUCUGAAGAUGUGAGACCAUAAGUUGUGUUCAAACAACUUUAACCAAGUUCCACUGGAGAUUAAUUACUUCUUAUAUUUUCAGUACUCUGACCACUACAUCUAGAUACUGCAACCAUAGGGCAAAACAAAGUACUAUUUAGUAUUAAUCAAAAAAGUGAGUUCUGCAUUGCAAGUCUAUUAUAAAGAGAAUAAGACUGAACACACACAAACCAUUCUUAGGCAUAAUAAACACAUUAGGAGAGCUGUCUUGGAUUAUAGCAUUUAUAAUUUAUGCCAGCCCAUGGUAUAUCUGGUUCUAGGGGGAAUACAUUAAUGGUAUUUAGGUUCAAACACUGUGCUGAAAUGGAACAGCCUGUGCAUCUUUGAUUAAUAAAACCCCUGUUUGUUAUGAACCAAGCAUUCUUGGUUUCUUUUGGCUAGUGUUUACCAUUGGCUUUGCACGUCCAUUGGCCUACUACACUAUACCCUCUGUGGGUAUCACUUCUCUGCAGAUGAAAUCCAGAUCUACUUCAUGAUUUUUUUAAAUUUUUUUUUUGGUCUUUUACUCAGAUUUUUGCUGCUAUUUCAGCCAGAUGGUCUCCUAAUUCUUCCAUUAUUUCCUCCUACCCCCUCUAGCAUAAACAUGUAUCUGUCCAUGGUCUAUUACACAAUCCUGUUAAAAAUAUUUUUUGUAGUUUUUCACCUUUUUGAAACUUGGGCCAUGCACUUAGGUCCAGCCAAGCAGUGCUUGGUGCAGAGCCAUAUGAGGUGAGCAAAGACAGCUUAAAGCAUCUUCUGUAUUUCCCCCCCCCCUCAUUUUCUUAGAUGUUCGUUUCAGACAGCCCUUCAGUUUCUUUGUGCUGCUUCCACUAUGUGAAUGGGAUGAAGCAAAGGCUAAGGAUCUGACCCCCUGUCUUUACAGCCUUUUCUCUUAGCAGUGGUUAGAUUUCUCCAUACACUUUAACACCAGACUUUUCUGCCAACCCUGAUCCCUCCUUUUUGUUCAACUGUGAGAGUAACAGCUUUCUUCUAUACUGCUACUUCCAGUUGGAACAAUUUCCCUACAUAUUUAUACCCUGUUAGCUCCCUGAUCCUUUGCAAAUUUUAUCUCAGGACUCAGCUCUUUUCUGGCAGGGCUACAUGAUUCCUACCACUACUGAUAAAAAAUGUGUUACAUUUGAAAGCUUAUCUAACUUUAUUCCAACCAUGAAGUUGGCUUAAUAAAAUAUAUCACCAUAAAACAUUCCUUGCCUUUCACAUAAUAUCUGGGCUAUCAUGGCCACAACAUCAUUCUAACACUAUCUUACCACUACUUCUAAUUUAAAUAAACUAGCUCCCUGGGCCUCUGGUUUGUGUGAAGUUCAGUCAUUGUUGCUGGAAUAUAGUCACCGUGCUACUUAGUACCCACCUUGUCUCAUCUACAGAAUUUACCUCUGAUAUAUAUGCUGUAGCUUACAUAUCUUAUUUUCAUUUUUAUUGGCUCUCUGAUGUAACUGGGCUGCAAAAUGCUCAGGAAUCCCUCUGUAGACACACUAAUUAGCAAUAAAUCAUGUUUCUUUGAUACAUUCUGCAUUUACCCUGCUUAGACACUUGAUGGUGCCCUUUGCAUUUUCACUCCAACUAAACUGCUUUUAAAGAAAGAAAUCCCUUUCAUGUAAACCAGUGUUUCUCAACCCAUGGUAUACGUGGGAGGGAAGCCCCACACAAACUGCUUUUCCACGGGCCCGCCGUGGAAAAAGUGGGACUUGGCUCACGGCGGUGAAACCAGAAGUGCCAAGGUGGUACUUUGGGUUUCGCUUUUGCUGCAUCGAUCGGCAGGAGGUAUGUAGGAUACCAAAGGUUGAGAACCACUGAUGUAAGCUGUAAAAAAUAUCUCGAGUAAGAUAUAGUUACACAUCUUAUUUUCUAAUGCCUAUGAAAAGAGAGACUGUUUUGACGGCAAAGUAUAUAGAUGAUGCUACAGCUAAAUAAGGACAAAUACUAAAUAAAAUGUUGUCACUGCACAUUACGGGAAAAGUUCCUAAGUUUUCAUAUUCCUCCCAAAAUAUUUUACUUGCUAAGUGACUGCUAAUCAAUCUUCAUCAUAGUAACAAUAGUGGUGUGUGUCUCACAAAGAUGGGCUGAGUGUCACUAAGUCUGCACAUGAAUGUAAAAUUGCUAAGUGUAUGGAGGAGAUGAGCUGAUGGAGUCAGCAAAUGCACUGUGAAAUAUUUUCUGGCCUCGGAGAAACAAUAUUCCUCAGUACUUUAGUAUUGUGUUAUAGGGGAAAUUUUCAGUCGUGUGUGUGUCAGUUUUUGAAAUUUCCUGCAUGCUUUGAUUCUAUAGAAAAAAUUAAUUUAAUCUCUGCUUCAUAGUUAAGUAUUAAUCUUAUAACAAUGCUUGCCUUCAUCUAUUUUUCUAGUGAAAUUAGAACCUAUGAGAUAACUGAAAAAGAUGUACCAGUAAUAAUAAAAA